UACGUAGGGUGCAAGCGUUGUCCGGAUUUAUUGGGCGUAAAGAGCGUGUAGGCGGCUUUACAGGUCCGUUGUGAAAACUCGAGGCUCAACCUCGAGACGCCGGUGGAAACCGUAAGGCUAGAGUCCGGAAGAGGAGAGUGGAAUUCCUGGUGUAGCGGUGAAAUGCGCAGAUAUCAGGAGGAACACCCGUGGCGAAAGCGGCUCUCUGGGACGGUACUGACGCUGAGACGCGAAAGCGUGGGGGAGCAAACAGG
rnacentral:rRNA from 1 species